GGGGAUAUGGCGGAAUUGGUAGACGCUACAGACUUAUUUUGAUAAAGGGAGAGUCCGGUUUAACCUUAUGAAAAUUUGUUGGUUCUUUGAACCGUGAGGGUUCAAGUCCCUCUAUCCCCA
rnacentral:tRNA from 1 species